CUUACAUUCUCUGUACAAAUCUUUGAAGUUUUUUGUGGUCUAAGCUGCUCCCAGGAAUUUAGUUUACUGUCUAAUCUCUACAACUGUACUGAUGACAGGCUUUGUUGUAUCCAUGUCAGAGAAAGGUAAACCCAGAAAACUAAUUUCUCAAUAUUCCAGGAAUUAGAAGUAGAAAUAAAACUUGAAUCUAGUUUCAUGGUUUCAGGAAUUUUGUUGCGAAGUCCAUAAAGGCAAUAAUGUUAUUUCUCUCCUUACUACGUCUGCUGUAGCUUACUGAACAUAAGUGGUUCGAGAACUUAGUGAUGAUUACUCUGGUAAGCCCAGGGAAUCUAUGUAUAGAGAGAGAGUCUAACUAAUAUUUGUGCAAUCACUAUGUGACUGGCACUGUCCUAAUUAUUUACAAGUAUUAAAUUAUUUACAGGUUGAGUAUCCCUUGUAUGAAAUGUUUAGGACCAGAAGUAUUGAUUUUGAAUUCCUUCAGAUUUAGGAAUAUUUGAAUGAGGUAUCUUGGGAAUGGGACCCAGUUCUAAACAUGAAAUUCAUUUAUAUUUUAAAUAUACUUUAUAUGUAUAGCCUGGAGGUAAUUUUAUACAAUAUUUUACAUAACUUUGUGCAUGAAACAGAAUUUGUGUACAUUGAACCAUCAGAAAGCAAAGGUGUCAAAGAUGGGAUUUUCCACUUGUGUCUUGUUGGUGCUCAAAAAUUUUCAGAUUUUGGAGUAUUUUGAAUUGUGGAUUGGCGUGCUCAACAUAUAUUUUCCACAGUGAUCUCUAAAGUAGGUGUGGUUAGCUCCAUUUUAUAGGUGAGUAACCUGAGGCAUAAAAAGGCCAGAUAACUUGUACAAGGUCACAGGACUAGUAAAUGACAGCUGAGCAGCUGAGCCCAGGCAGUCUGGUUAGAAAGCCUGUGCUCUUAAUUAUUAACACCACAACUUUUGUCUUCAGAGAUCUUAGGAAGAGCAAAAAACCCUAAGCUUUUAGUACAAAUUAUUGGUAGUAUUGAACGUUGUCUUUGUCCGUUUUCACAGUGCUAUUAAAAACUACAUGAGACUGGAUAAUUUGUACAGAAGAGGUUUAAUUGACUAACAGUUCAUGUGGCUGGGGAGGUGAAGGAGAAGCACAGCACGUUUUACAUGACCACAGGAGAGAGAACAAAGCAGGGAAGUGCCACACUUUUAAAUGGUCAGAUCUCGUGAGAACUCAGUAUCACGAGAACACUGUGGGGGAAACUGUCCCCAUAAUCCAGUCACCUUCCAGUAGGUUCCUCCUGUGACAUGUGAGGAUUACAAUUCAAGUUGAAAUUUGGGUGGGGACACAGAGUCAAACUACAUCAAACAUAUACAAGGGGACUUCAAAAAGUUUGUGGAAAAAUGGAAUUAAAACAUAAGAAUAAAAAUGUAAACUUUACUUCUCAAUGUAAGUUCCAUCAAGUUCGAGACACUUUUGUGAAUGAUGAUACCAGUCAUUUAAUCUGUUCCUGUAGAAUGAGGGUGUCUGGAUACCUGGAGACUAGGGGUAAAAAAGAACUGAGUCCCUGCUAAUUUAACCAUGUCAAUGUAAUCUUUUUUGGUUGAAGAAAAAUGGGUGCCCUUUAAAGACUUUUAAAGAUUAGGAAAUGAAAAGAAGUCAGAAAGAGCCAAAUUAGGAUCUUAGAGGUGGAUGCCUAAUAAUGCCCCAUUGAAAUUCUUGCAAAAUUGACCUUGUUGGAUUAGAGGAAUGAACAGGAGCAUUGCCAUGGUGGAGGACUUUCUGGUGAAGCUUUCCUGGGCAUUUUUCUACUAAAGCUUUGGCUAACUUUCUCAAAACAUUCUCAUAGUAAGCAGAUGUUACUGUCCUUUGGCCCUCCAGAAAGUCAACAAGCAAAAUGCCUUAAGCAUUCCCAAAAAAUUGUUUCCAUAACCUUUGCUCUUGACUGGUUCACUUUUACUUUGACUGGACCACUUCCGCCUCUCGGUAGUCAUUGCUUGGUUGUGCUUUAUUUUCAGGAUUGUACUCGUAAAGCCAUGUUUUAUCUCCUGCCUCAAUUCUUGGAAGAAAUGCUUCAGGAUCUUAAUCCCACUUGUUUAAAAUUCUCAUUGAAAGCUUUGCUCUUGUCUGUAGCUGAUCUGGGUGUAGUGGUUUUGGCACCAGUCAAGUGGAAAGUUUGCUCAACUUUAAUUUUACAGUCAGAAUUGUGUAGGCCAAACCAAUUGAGAUGUCUGUGGUGUUGGCUUUUGUUUCUACUGUUAAUUGUUGGUCUUCUUCAGUUAGGGCAUGGUCAAGAUUAAUUUCUUCCUUGAAAAUUUAUGUGGUCUGCCACUAUGGGCAUCAUCUCUAACAUCAUUUUAUCCCUUCUCAAAAUGUAAACUGCAGAUUUCUUUGGGACAUUAUCCCCAUAAACUUUUCCUGAAGUAUCAGUGAUUUCACCAUUCUUUUACCCGAGCUUCACCAUAAAGUUGAUGUUUGUUCUUGCUUUAGUUUUAACAGAAUUCAUAUUGCCCUGAUAGGGGCUCUUUUCAAACUAAUAUCUUAUCCUUCUUAGUGCCUCAAACUAGAUCCUGUUCAGACAUGAAAAAGUGUGAAUUUAUUUUGGUGAAAAAUUGAAAUCCAUGCAUAGUUUUUUUUUCAUAAUGAACAUUUUCCAGGAAACUUUUGAUGGCUCCUUGUAUCAAUCUCCCUUUGGCUGACAAAAUUAUGUUACCUUUCAUCUAUAGGUAGUAUACUCUGUAAGUUUAAAGUGGUAGUGUGAAGCUGUAAACUCUGAAGUUAUGGGUUCUAGCCCUGUUCUUGCUACAUAGCUUGAGAGUGCUGUCUUCUCUUGUUUCCUUGUCUCUGGAAUAAUUGGCAGUGGACAAGACGAUUCCCUCUUAGCUCAAAAUGUGUAGCCCUUUGCAUGAUCUAUAGCACCUAGUUAUUUUUGCACCUUAGUAGAUACUUGCACAUAUGAAUUGUUUUGUGUUUGACCUUUACUUAAUAUACCUGCUUUUUUAGUACAAAUCACAAUCUACAUUCAGCAAGCAAACAGAUAAUUCAACAAGGAAAACAGAUUUUUUUAUUUACAUUUUUACCAGUGUCAGCUCUACUGACAUGCAUUAAUUGGAAAUUGACUAUGGCCUGGUAACCUUUAAUCUGAAAGCUGCCAUGCUUUGCCAUGAUACUUCAUAGUUGGUUCCCCAUUUAAGAAUAAUGCAGCUCUGACCCUGUGUCCUCAUUUGUAUGGCUCAUUUUGUGAUAAUAGGGGCAGAAGAUAGAAAUAAACCUUUAAAAAAUUUAAAAAAUCAUUCUCUUGUUUCUAAAAUGGACAUGAAGUUUGUUAUUUGAUUUAUUUGAAAUAAAUGAUAAGUUGUCUGGAGAAGGAAAUACUAUUAUUACCAGUAGAGAUUGGGGAUGUGUGGUUGCUCUUUAAUGACAGAAAUAAUUCCGGAGACAAUACACACAUUUAAAUGAUAAACUUUUCUGAGAGAUCAACUGUAGCUAAACUAUAGGAAAGUCUUAUUAGACUUUCAUAACUGGGGUAGGCAAGUGUAAAAGGACUCCUGACUGUUCCCAUAUAAUUCAAGACAGGAGCUAUUCUAGUUUAUAUUUUCUGAAGAUCUGAAAUGUGGCCCAGAUUCCGGUAUCCUUGUGAACCACACCAAAAGAAAAAUUUGCAACAAACUAGAACAUUUUACCCUUGUACAAAAUUAGGUUUGUCAACAUUUAGAAAUAGUUCUAAAUCAUGUGGGCUUUUUUUAUUUUUUAUUUUUUGCCUUUAAAAGAAAUAUGUAUCUAUAUGUAUGUAUGUGUAUAUAUAUUUAUAUAUGUACACUUAGUACAAUUUCACUGUCUAAAAAGUGCAACUGUAAAAGCGGUGUGCUGAGAGUUGUAAAAGGACUUUUCUACCAAAAGGAUGCCUUAAAAAUUUUUUAAGAAAAGAAAAAAAAUUAUAGUAAACUUUGAACUGUUUUACCACAAAAAAGGUCAUUGAAACUUUAAAAUAUAAAUUGAUUAUUAAAAGAAGUAAAAAAGUUUCGGUACAGUUCUGCCCUUUUAUAGUAGGCCACUGUCAAAAAUUCUAAUUUAGUCUGGGGAGGGGCCUUAUACAUUUGUAAUUCUUUUAAAAGCCCCCCACCCUAAAACCACUAAAAAAGCGUAGCAGUACCUUCCUACAGAUCUAUAAAACAUACAAUGUCAGGUGAAAUGCUGGGCCCAGCAACCUUUGCUUCUCACCUGGCAUGAGAUUUAUUUAUUCAGUUUGUGUACAAGUAAUUGUGAACAUAUUCUUGUUCUGAGAGUUAGGAAAAACUUCCUUAAGUCACUAAUACAAUGGCAAGGGAGAGCAAGGAGAAUGAAAUAAAAUUAUUCUGCUAGUGGCUAAAUGCUUAAAACUUAGGUGAAUUUCCAUUUUGAUGAGUUAAGAAAACAAAACCAAACUAAAAAGAAUUGAGCUUUUCUUUUACACUUCUUGUGCCGAAAUGUUUCAUUACUGUGGUCUCUUUGCAUGAUCAGCUGGUUUAAUCACACACAGGACCCUAAACCCCAUCUGUAUGUAGUUGACUGAUGUGCUGGUAAGCCUUUGAUAACUUUGAUGUUUGGUUAAAUCUGUGUAGUAUUGCUUUAAGUCUCUCUUUUAAUCAUUCAAAAGCUAAAUAAUUACAUCAGUUCUUAUAAGAUUUUCCAAAGAUGAAUUCUGUAUUAGUUGCAUGAGUGGCUCAUUUUCUUGGAAUUUUUUGGGGGUUACUAAAUUAUAAUAAGUAAUAACUGGGGAAGCUUUAAAACUGCCUUAGUUUUCUAACUUUUUGUGUUUGUGUUCAAAAAUAAUUAAGUUGAUGGUAAUAUGUGGAAAGUGAUUAAAAUUUUGUUUCAAUGGGCUUUGAUGUAGUGAGAAAACAGUUAUUAAUUAUGCACAGAUGAGGUUGUCUUUUGUUUGAUUAAUGGAUAUUACUCAGUGACCAG